rnacentral:rRNA from 1 species
CCCGAGUGCUUGCACUCAAUUGGAAAGAGGAGUGGCGGACGGGUGAGUAACACGUGGGUAACCUACCCAUCAGAGGGGGAUAACACUUGGAAACAGGUGCUAAUACCGCAUAACAGUUUAUGCCGCAUGGCAUAAGAGUGAAAGGCGCUUUCGGGUGUCGCUGAUGGAUGGACCCGCGGUGCAUUAGCUAGUUGGUGAGGUAACGGCUCACCAAGGCCACGAUGCAUAGCCGACCUGAGAGGGUGAUCGGCCACACUGGGACUGAGACACGGCCCAGACUCCUACGGGAGGCAGCAGUAGGGAAUCUUCGGCAAUGGACGAAAGUCUGACCGAGCAACGCCGCGUGAGUGAAGAAGGUUUUCGGAUCGUAAAACUCUGUUGUUAGAGAAGAACAAGGACGUUAGUAACUGAACGUCCCCUGACGGUAUCUAACCAGAAAGCCACGGCUAACUACGUGCCAGCAGCCGCGGUAAUACGUAGGUGGCAAGCGUUGUCCGGAUUUAUUGGGCGUAAAGCGAGCGCAGGCGGUUUCUUAAGUCUGAUGUGAAAGCCCCCGGCUCAACCGGGGAGGGUCAUUGGAAACUGGGAGACUUGAGUGCAGAAGAGGAGAGUAGAACUCCUUGGUGUAACGGG